rnacentral:rRNA from 1 species
AGAUUGAACGCUGGCGGCAGGCCUAACACAUGCAAGUCGAGCGCGAAAGGUUUUCGGACUGAGUAAAGCGGCGGACGGGUGAGUAACGCGUGGGAAUCUGCCUGGUAGUGGGGGACAACGUUCCGAAAGGAACGCUAAUACCGCAUACGCCCUACGGGGGGAAAGGGGGGAUCUUCGGACCUCUCGCUAUCAGAUGAGCCCGCGUCGGAUUAGCUAGUUGGUAGGUAAAGGCCUACCAAGGCGACGAUCCGUAACUGGUCUGAGAGGAUGAUCAGUCACACUGGAACUGAGACACGGUCCAGACUCCUACGGGAGGCAGCAGUGGGAAUAUUGACAAUGGGGGCAACCGUGAUCCAGCCAUCGCCGCGUGUGUAGAAGAAGGCCGUUAGGUUAUAAAGCACUUUCAGGUGGGGAGAAAGUGGUUACACUUAAUACGUAGUAAUUAAGUUAGUAUACGUUAACCAACGUAAGAAAG